rnacentral:rRNA from 1 species
AUUGAACGCUGGCGGCAUGCCUUACACAUGCAAGUCGAACGGCAGCACGGGAGCAAUCCUGGUGGCGAGUGGCGAACGGGUGAGUAAUAUAUCGGAACGUGCCCAGUAGUGGGGGAUAGCCCGGCGAAAGCCGGAUUAAUACCGCAUACGACCUGAGGGUGAAAGCGGGGGAUCGCAAGACCUCGCGCUAUUGGAGCGGCCGAUAUCAGAUUAGCUAGUUGGUGGGGUAAAGGCCUACCAAGGCUACGAUCUGUAGUUGGUCUGAGAGGACGACCAGCCACACUGGGACUGAGACACGGCCCAGACUCCUACGGGAGGCAGCAGUGGGGAAUUUUGGACAAUGGCGCAAGCCUGAUCCAGCAAUGCCGCGUGCAGAAGAAGGCCUCGGUUGUAAACUGCUUUGUCAGGAGAAAUACUCUGGCGUAAUAACCCCGGAGGAGUGACGGUACCGUCGAAGGAAUAAGACGAACCGGCGUAACUAACGUAGCCAGCAGCCGACC